UACCCGUGCGUGAUGCUGACUGAAGAUUGAUUGUUGCUGGCCUUUUUACUUAAUUUGGCAGGAGGAGCAUGUGUAACGUCUCUUUCAUCCAUCACACACCUGUGUGCUCGUGAGAGAGAGCUAUAUGUGGUGGAUAGACUACCUCAUCCAUGUGCUGUCUACUUAAUAUACACACUCUCUACUUAAUAUACACUGAGUGUCUGUGAUGUCACGCAUCUGAUACUAAGUCUCCACAACAGAUCUCGUGUCUCUCGUAUCGAAGAAGAGCGCAGCGAAGUGCUAUAAGAUAUGUGAAGUGCAGAUCUCAGUGUCUCGCGACUCUUAAAAACGCCUUUGCUUUUGGUAUUCCUUGGAGCAUGCCUGUUUGAGUAUCAUGAAAUCUUCAAAGUAAACCUUUUGUUAAUUCAAUUGGUCUUUUUUACUUUGGUUUUGGAGGAUCUUAUUGCAGCUUCACACCUGCUCCUCUUUGUGCAUUAGCUGGAUCUCAGUGUUAUGCUUGGUUCCACUCGGCGUGAUAAGUUAUCUAUCGCUGAGGACACCCGUAAAAAAGGUGGCCAAGGUAAAUGCAGAUGAACCGCUUCUAAUAGUCCAUUGACUUGGACAAUAUUCUAUUCUAUGAUCUGAGCUCAAAUCAGGUAGGACUACCCGCUAAUCUUAAGCAUACAAACUUGG
rnacentral:rRNA from 1 species